rnacentral:rRNA from 1 species
GGUCCUACGGGUGGCUGCAGUGGGGAAUAUUGGACAAUGGGCGAAAGCCUGAUCCAGCAAUGCCGCGUGAGUGAUGAAGGCCCUAGGGUUGUAAAGCUCUUUUACCCGGGAUGAUAAUGACAGUACCGGGAGAAUAAGCCCCGGCUAACUCCGUGCCAGCAGCCGCGGUAAUACGGAGGGGGCUAGCGUUGUUCGGAAUUACUGGGCGUAAAGCGCACGUAGGCGGCUUUGUAAGUUAGAGGUGAAAGCCCGGGGCUCAACCCCGGAAUAGCCUUUAAGACUGCAUCGCUUGAAUCCGGGAGAGGUGAGUGGAAUUCCGAGUGUAGAGGUGAAAUUCGUAGAUAUUCGGAAGAACACCAGUGGCGAAGGCGGCUCACUGGACCGGUAUUGACGCUGAGGUGCGAAAGCGUGGGGAGCAAACAGGAUUAGAUACCCGAGUAGUCC